GAAUCCCGUCUUUGACACGGACUGCCUGCAUGUUAUGGUGCGCUCUCAAAGAGUCGAGUUGUUUGGGAAUGCAGCUCAAAAUGGGUGGUAAAUGCCAUCUAAAGCUAAAUAUUGGCGAGAGACCGAUAGCGAACAAGUACCGUGAGGGAAAGAUGAAAAGAACUUUGGAAAGAGAGUUAAACAGUACGUGAAAUUGCUGAAAGGGAAACGCUUGAAGUCAGUCGCGUCGGCUAGAAAUCAACCUUGCUUUUGCUUGGUGUACUUUCUUGUUGAUGGGUCAGCAUCAAUUUUGACCGUUGGAUAAAGUCGUUGGGAAUGUGGCAUCUUAGGAUGUGUUAUAGCCCAUCGUCGCAUACAGCGGUUGGGAUUGAGGAACUCAGCACGCCCUUCUGGGGACGGGUUUCGACCACGUUUCGUGCUUAGGAUGCUGGCAUAAUGGCUUUAAUCGACCCGUCUUGAAACACGGACCAAGGAGUCUAACAUGCCUGCGAGUGUUUGGGUGGAAAACCCAUGCGCGCAAUGAAAGUGAAAGUUGAGAUCCCCUCAAGGGGAGCAUCGACGCCCGGACCAGAGCUUCUGUGACGGAUCCGCGGUAGAGCAUGUAUGUUGGGACCCGAAAGAUGGUGAACUAUGCCUGAAUAGGGUGAAGCCAGAGGAACUCUGGUGGAGGCUCGUAGCGAUUCUGACGUGCAAAUCGAUCGUCAAAUUUGGGUAUAGGGGCGAAAGACUAAUCGAACCAUCUAGUAGCUGGUUCCUGCC
rnacentral:rRNA from 1 species